AUUAUUCAAUCAAAGUGUGUGAAGUUUGUACAAAUAGAACAAGACUGUCUAUAAUCGUGUUAAUACGUAUUUUCUUGUUUACUUUUCAAUUCUGUUAUUUUUUUUUUUUUUUUGUUGCUGUUAUUCUUUGUCGUUUUCCUUGAAAAAACUGAGAGGCAUGAUAUAAAAACCGACUGUCAAACGCAUUAUAUAAACGCACACACCUAUAUAUAUAUGUAUAUAUAUAUAUAUAUAUAUAGAUAUACGAUUACACGAUUCUAUAGUCGAAUAUAACAGAUGCAUGAUUUAUACCUAUAAUAGUGUAUAAGAAUUGUAUGUGUAUGUAUGUAUCUAUGUAGGUAUGUAUAUCGUACAAUCUUAUACAAA
rnacentral:lncRNA from 1 species